GUAAUCAGGCCGGAAAUAAAUAAUCUUUGUCCAGCUUUGAGUGCAUCGCUAAUGGGUGAGGAAUACUGUAGUUUUCCGGGAUUUGCAAAGGAAAAGGAGUAAUAAUCUCAAAUGCUCCAAAUGAAGUGAACAAACAAACACAACUCAUUCCAGAUAUUUAACAAGGACGAACAAGGACAGCAAACUUGAAAAGCCAAAGCAACAUAGCAGUCACAAUUUCUGCAGAUAAAAAAGACAGAAUUAGUUGAAAUCUAUAUGUUGAAAAAAAAUUGAAAUAUAAUAUUGACCAAAAAAAAAAAAAAAGCUCUACAUGGUAUGGGUUUGGUGCCUGAUUUCAUGACUUUACACUGAAAUCAAAGCUGUUGCAGCAGCCUCGCUUUAGAACAGUGACUCAAGCUCCUAACAUGCUCCAGAAGGAAACAGGGCUGGACAAUUCGGACCAGGUUUUGUUAUUGCAGUUACCCAAAGACUGCAACUGGUUCACUGGGGCAGAAGACUCUUUCUCUCUUCGGCAAAACUCAUAAAGAGAGCUUGGUUUUUGAAAAGCAGCAAAUCAGAUGUCGAGAAACUGCAAUUCCUAUUAAGAACACUUGACUGUUUACUCAGCAAGAGAACUUCAGGCUCAGGCUGCAUCAAUCUAAAUGCGUUUCAGGACGUCAGUCUUUUGAAAAGUGCAGACUGAAGAAGAGCUGAUGCCAAAAAGAAGGGAUCCUGAAAAAAAGUGAUGUCAGAAAGAAGGGGACUGGGAAAGAAAAAGGUAAAGAUCCUGGCUAGAGGAAAGAUCCUGAAAGUGGGGGAAGAUCCUGAAGAUCGGAGAGCUGUGUGGAGAAGAAUGCUGGGGGAUGUCCAGGGACCUUGGCCAGUUAAUGUCCAAGACUGGCAACUGUUUGCACAGUCCUCAUCUAUCCGUCUCUGCCCUACCAGUCCAAGAGAGCAUCCUGAUUUUCUGAGAGUGUCAUCUGGUACCUCUGGUUGAUGUCUUUGCGUGAAUCUGAGGGAAGAAUGUGCUUGUUCAAAGGAAGACUUUGGCUCUGUCAGAAGCAGACUGCGUGCUAAACAUUUGUUACUCUCUAACAAAGGGGGGCCACUGAUUUGCAGACACAGCUCGCAUUGAUGUCAACAAAAGCUGCACAGAAAGUUCAAGUGUGCAGUGAGGUCCUUUGCCUCUAAUUCAUCUCAGGGCUUGCCUUAUUUUAAUAUACAACUUUGAGCUGAAUGAGAUUGGGAUGGAUUUUUAAAGAAAGAUGCUGGCUACAGAUCCAGGCUGACAAGAGGUGAGAAAAUAUUUCCAGCUCCACGGACAAAUCGAAAAACUGCCUGAACAGACUGCCAGUUCAACUGUUUGUAAAGUGGCCACAGACCAGCGAAUUGCUGCGCGCAACUGAGUGUCAAAUAUUCGCCUGGCGUGUUUUGGCAUCAUUCCAUUUGCUUCAGCGGAGCCAUGCUGAUUUUCAUCAGCUAAAGAUCUGGUUUUAAAGUGCGCAUAACGGUUUUCAAGCCCUGUCCUCAAAGUUCACAGUUUUUCUGUUUUCUCUAAGGUAACAGUUUAAUUUCACUGGGAUGUUCCUACAUUGUUUUUCUUCUUCUUGUAGAAAAUAGACAUGAUGAAAAUUGCAGGGCUGGAGCAAAGAACACUAUGUUAAAGUGUAAUUUCAGAAAAAAAAAAAACACCACAAUUCUGCACUGGGCAGUGCAAACAAAGUUUUACUAAAAUAGACAUCUUACAUACUGAGAAAAAGCAUGAUCUUUUCUGCCUUUAAAAUUUUUUUAUACUUUUUUUUUAUACUUACAGUCAGUGCUUUGCAGAUUGGGGAACAGCAUUCACAGACAGGGUUAUAUUGUUGUUAAACCAAAUUAGGAAAACUGCAUAUGUCCUCAAGAAGGUACACAGCAGACAGAGGGGGAAAAAAGGCAAGCCAGAGUGCAAUGUGUUCUCAAGGUCUUUAGAGAUCACGGUGCAACUUGCUCCUGAGACU
rnacentral:lncRNA from 1 species